rnacentral:rRNA from 1 species
UACGUAGGGGGCAAGCGUUGUCCGGAUUUAUUGGGCGUAAAGAGCGUGUAGGCGGCCAGGUAGGUCCGCUGUGAAAACUCGAGGCUCAACCUCGAGAUGUCGGCGGAAACCAUCUGGCUAGAGUCCGGAAGAGGAGAGUGGAAUUCCUGGUGUAGCGGUGAAAUGCGCAGAUAUCAAGAGGAACACCUGCGGCGAAGGCGGGUUGCUGGGCCGACACUGACGCUGAGGCGCGAAAGCUAGGGGAGCGAACGGG